CAGGCUCAAUACCAGCUUCACUUAUUAUUGAAACUAUAAUGGAACAUGUGGCUAAAGCAAUAGACAGGCAUCCCAUCCUUGUGAAGGAACUCAAUUUGUAUGAGAAAGACCAGAUUGAUUUGAAUGAUGAACUGAUGUCUCAGUGCACUAUUAGAGAUUUGUGGCGACGUCUUAAAGACAUUGCAGAGGUGGAAGGAAGAAUGAGAAUUGUGGAUGCUUUCAAUCAGGAAAAUCUUUGGAAGAAAAGGGGCAUAACUA
rnacentral:sRNA from 1 species